UCGGGUACAGGGCCUUUAAUACAGAAACACAACACACUAACAUUAUGGUGUUAUUACAGUGGACCCACCUGUUCCCACUUGUGCUGAAGGAUAUUAUCUGCCGAAGUAUGUUUCCCCAACACCCAGAGACGGAGAGGUCAUUCUGGCAGAAGCUGGAAAAGAAGUAGAGAUAAAAGUCAAGGCUGAAGCUCUUUAUUCACAAGUUGACGACCUUAUAAUGACCGGGCCACUGAAUAUCACCAAGCACAAAACCACUGGAGAUGAGUUCACCAUCAGAUGGACUCCUAUUCCUGAAGACAUCGGACACUAUUUUCCAAUCUGCUUUGCUGUUGAAUUUAAAAAUGGAUCUUCCGUUUACCAAACUGAGAUGAGAUGUGUGCUGGUGAAUGUUACAAAGACUCU